GCUCUCCAUGUCAUGUACGACAGGUACAAAGGGCCAACACUGUCAGGAAAUCCUUCCAGAACCAUAUAAGAUCGUGUAAAAGACAUCAAUUCCUGCAAUGCACAUCUAAGUUAUCCACAAAAAUAUCUAUAUUGUCCAGUAUAAGGCACUAACAUUCUCACAUGUAUAGACACAUUUUCAGAUUUUUUUAGUUAUCAAUAUUUGUCACUGUGCUUC
rnacentral:lncRNA from 1 species